GGCUUCUGUAUAGUACUACACUGCGUGAGCGGACGAAAACAACAACACCUAAAAUGUGGAAUAUAGCAUAUAGUCGACAAGAGAAAUCUACGAAAAACAAACAAAACUUUCAACAACGGAUCUCUUGGUUCUCGCAUCGAUGAAGAGCGCAGCGAAAUGCGAUACCUAGUGUGAAUUGCAGCCAUCGUGAAUCAUCGAGUUCUUGAACGCACAUUGCGCCCCUCGGCAUUCCGGGGGGCAUGCCUGUUUGAGCGUCGUUUCCAUCUUGCGCGUGCGCAGAGUUGGGGGAGCGGAGCGGACGACGUGUAAAGAGCGUCGGAGCUGCGACUCGCCUGAAAGGGAGCGAAGCUGGCCGAGCGAACUAGACUUUUUUUCAGGGACGCUUGGCGGCCGAGAGCGAGUGUUGCGAGACAACAAAAAGCUCGACCUCAAAUCAGGUAGGAAUACCCGCUGAACUUAAGCAUAUCA
rnacentral:rRNA from 1 species